rnacentral:rRNA from 1 species
UACGUAGGGUGCAAGCGUUGUCCGGAAUUAUUGGGCGUAAAGAGCUCGUAGGCGGUCUGUCGCGUCUGCUGUGAAAACUCAGGGCUUAACCCUGAGCUUGCAGUGGGUACGGGCAGACUAGAGUGCGGUAGGGGAGACUGGAAUUCCUGGUGUAGCGGUGAAAUGCGCAGAUAUCAGGAGGAACACCGGUGGGCGAAAGGCGGGUCUCUGGGCCGUA